CGGGGCGACCAGCCCGUAGGCACCUGCUUUGGGAGCAGGGUCCCAGGUUCGAAUCCUGGUGCCCCGA
rnacentral:tRNA from 1 species